rnacentral:rRNA from 1 species
UACGUAGGGGGCAAGCGUUGUCCGGAAUCAUUGGGCGUAAAGAGCGUGUAGGCGGCUCGGUAAGUCCGCUGUGAAAGUCCAGGGCUCAACCCUGGAAUGCCGGUGGAAACUGUCGAGCUAGAGUCCGGAAGAGGCGAGUGGAAUUCCUGGUGUAGCGGUGAAAUGCGCAGAUAUCAGGAGGAACACCAAUGGCGAAGGCAGCUCGCUGGGACGGUACUGACGCUGAGACGCGAAAGCGUGGGAGC